AUACGAACCGUACGAACGUUAUUCGGAAUCACUGGGCUUAAAGAGUGCGUAGGCGGCUUGGUAAGUUGGGUGUGAAAUCCCUCGGCUCAACCGAGGAAUUGCGCCCAAUACUGCUAGGCUUGAGGGAGGUAGGGGUGAGCGGAACUAAUGGUGGAGCGGCGAAAUGCGUUGAUAUCAUUAGGAACACCGGAGGCGAAAGCGGCUCACUGGAUCUCUUCUGACGCUGAGGCACGAAAGCUAGGGGAGCGAACGGGAUUAGAAACCCUAGUAGUCC
rnacentral:rRNA from 1 species